rnacentral:sRNA from 1 species
UCAUAGCCCCGAUUGUAACGGCAUCCUUUUUUGUUAUUGCGAUUGACAAAUGGUCGAACAUAUUGCUUCACUUCAUUCGCAAUGACAAAAAAGAUAUAGUGGAAAGCGGGAUAAGCU